UUUAAACACUUAUUUUUUUCAUUUGAUCUAUAUUUAAAAAUGUACUCAGAGAGUUCUGAAGAGGAAUAAUGAUUACAAUAGCAGCUUUCAGAUGCUUAUUUGGAAAUCGUGUAAUAGAGAAUUAAAUAUGUUUCCAGUAGGUAUCCAGUAUUUAAGACAACAAAAUUAAGGUAACUUCUCAUAUUUAAGAACAUAACAUAACAAGACUUGUUAAGUUUAAACUUCAUCCACUGUCCAGGAAUUGUAAACAAAAGAAAAUUUGUGGAAGGCCCCUGACAUUGGCCUUCACAAUACUGUUAGGGUUGUGCUCUCGACCAGAAGUUGGCAAACUUUUUCUGUAAAGUGACAGGUAGUAAAUAUUGUUGAUUUUGUGGAUCAUAAAUGUCUGUUGCAACUGCUCAACUCUGCCAUUUUAGCACAAAAGCAACGAUAGACUAUACCUAAACAAACGGACAUGGCUGUGUUUCAAUCAAUAAUACUUUAUUUACAAAAACAGAUGGGGAGCUGGAUUUGCUUCAUGGUCCGUAGCUUGCCAACCUCUGCUCUUGAUUGUCCUCAUAGCUCAGUUUUCUCCCGUUAGUCUACAGAAUUAACAAGUCAUUAUUCUUGUACUGUAUUUUGCAGAAUUAUGAGAGAAAAAUUCACCUAAAUUGCUUUGACCAGUAGAAGAUAAGACACAACUGUAUGUCCAGGUCCUUUUACUCAAGAAUCUAAAUCCUCUUUUGAGAAAAAUAGAUAUCAAAAUUCCUUAAAAAUAUGUAUUUGAGAGUAAGUAUUGCAUGUAUGGAAGUGUCUCAAUAUUGAGGACCAACUAUGAUGCCAGGAAAAAGGGAAUAAAGUGUAUACCUGAUACUCCAAAGAUCUCAUAAAAUCACAAAAGCCCAGGAUUCUAGGCUGUAAAUCUACUCUGUAAUUUUAUCCUUUACCUCAGGGCAGUAAGAUCUAGGACAUAGAAACUACUCACAUGUUAAUUCCAGGGCGAGGUGAUAACUGGGCUGGUGCUUUCUUCUUGUUACAGGAUGACGAAAACCUUCAGACAUUUGUUGUAGGAUGAACUGAAACUUGCUGCUCUUUUGUGAUGGAAACUCACUACCAAGCUCAUUAAUGAUUGAAUACAUUGGAGAUGUCCCUUAUGUCAGGGAUAUUUAAUGCAUGAAUUCAGUGUGCAUUUCACACUCAAUUCAUAAAGGAAAAUUAAACAAAUAAAUGAAAAGAAUAAAAUGUAAACAAACUGAAAGUCCUAACCCUUUGCCCCAGUCCCAGAAACUGAGAUGUUGGAAAAAUACCAAUGAACAGGCCUUAAAAUAUGGUGACUUGGACAGAAGAAAUAAAUAAUUUUCUCUCACAUUAAAUUCCAUUGUUUGGUAUUAAGCAAAAGGCAUUUGUUUGCCAAUUUAAAGAUCAUUUUAAUGGAGAUUUUUCUGUUUUAACCCCUUUCCAGUUCUAUACCCUAAAGAGAAGAAAUCCAGGAACUUCAAUUAAUUUAAAUGGUCUUGCCUUUAAUCCUUAUUUCAACCUUCAAUUUUAACCCUGGGUUUGCAGCUGAGAGUUUGGAGCAAACUCCACCAUCACGACCUUUGUUGGAAGUACAAGGAUUGCAUAAGCUCCUGGGAUGCUAAAGGGAAUGAGACCAAUCUUUUUGUAAAAAUUAUAGCUUUCUAGUAUAUCUUUUUACUACUAUUUAUUAAAUUCUAUGCACUUAUGGACACUUUUUAUACACUAUUGUUAAUCUAACUAAUUCUAGAAAGUAUAAAUUAUCUCUUUUCCAUAAAUGCAAGGCUCAGAAAGGUCACUUGACUGGCACUGCGCCACAUAGGCUGCAUUUGGCAGGUCUGGGCUUCAAGCUGAGAUCUCUCCAGUAGGAAUGCCUUUCUCAGAGGUACUCAUUGUCCUUCUUCACCACUAUGCAAAUGCAGGACAUGUACAACAUAUUAUUUAGGGAGCAUGGUGAAAUCCCAACUACCACCUGGUUGAUGUUCCCACCAUUAGAAUCUCUGGUUCAGGUUAUGACUUCUCCCUGUGGGGCUGGCCAAAGCCAUCAGAAAGCCUUUAUGAAGAUACAUCUAUGUGCAUCAGAGUCCUUCCAGACUCUCCCACUAGCAUGAGAUGGUCAGCCAGAUUACAUGACAUUCAAGGGGAUGAAAGGGCAUAGGAGGGCAGUUGGGACACGUAUCUGUAGAGCAGGAAGGAGGGAGAUUCAGCAGCUUCAGGUAGAGUGAGCUGGGAGAACACCCAAGAGCUGGAAAGUCCAGGACGAUGUUUUCCCAUCUGAAGUUUUGAGAUCUUCUCAAGCAGGGUCACUUGGAGUAUUUUUUUAAAUCAAAUCUCUGAGUAUUGUCCCUCAAUACUCUGAGUUCAAUAAGUUUUGUUGGGGUCCAGGAAUCUCUGUAAUCACCCUUCAAGUUUAAGAACCACUGGUAGGGAGUAGUUGGGCAAGUCUGGGAGUGUCUGAAGAAGGAGCUAAUUCCCAGAAAGAGGAACUCAAGGGACGUUUCUAAAAACUGAUGCUAAAUAGAAUGAAGACCUCUGAGAACUGCUUCUUCUAAAGAUUGUUACAGGACCAGCGUGGGAUACUCAAACACAUCCUUGUAUUUGUUUUAUUUUUCCAUGUAUAUUUAACAUCCAUGGGCAAUAAUAUUGAUUUUCUCAAACUAAGGGCCCCUCUUUCAUUAUUUAAUGAUUACAGCAUGAAAUCACACAAAUAGAGAAGAUAGAAAAUGCAAAUCAAUAUGAAUUAGCCAAAUUGCAUCAUUUAACCAGGUAGCAUUUCCAUGGAUGUAAACAAAUAUAUUAUGGAUAAUGAGUUCAAGGAAUUGGUAUAAAAUUAAAUUUAAAGUCUUAAUUUAAACGAAGCAUGUUCUCUACUUUAUACCAGAUCAAUACACACGGCAUUUGAAACUUCAUAAAAUAUGAUACAGUACAUUGCUUCCUCUACCCACUAUUUACUAUUUUUAUAAGUGUAGAAUAUUUUUGGAUUAUAAAUGUAACUAAAUAGAGCAAAACUAUAUGAAUUAAAAUCAUGAAUUUUUUUUAUAGAAUUAUAGGCUUGCUGCAGAACUUGAAGGCAUUACUAGUAUAAUAUCAGAGAAAUGUAUUAGCCUCCAGGGGAUACAUUCUUAUUAUCAGUUAUGGAUUUUGUGGGCUGUAAGUUAGAAAGAGAUGUGCUAUGAUAUUUUUCUUUGGAAACAAGGAAGGAAACUACUGAAAAUUUUAAACAAACAAUGUUGACUUCAAAUAUAAGGUGUUUGAGUUUGUACACAGCUUGCUGCCUAGUUAAAGGCAAGAUCUACAUUGCAUGCACAAUUGCGUGCAAAUUGGACUUAAUUCACUGCAUGCUUUGCCUCUUCAAUUAAAUGAGAAGAUGAUUUUUACUUUAGAGGAGUAAAAAUUCAAUGUGUUAAAGUGUUCCACCGCUAAAUUUUCCCCAAAUAGUUUGUGUACCCAAAUGUUUAUUUGAAA
ensembl:lncRNA